rnacentral:misc_RNA from 1 species
AUGGUCCGUACUUAUGUUGAGAAGGUGAGAAUACAGCAUUAGAGAUGAAUGAUACUGAAUCUGUUCAAGGAAAGAAGAUACAUGUUCAUAUACAUGAGGUGUUUUGGAAUAAAUAAAAUUUAAAUACGUAGUUAACUUGAAAUGAAUUAAUAUAAGAAGAGACUCCAUCACAAUUUUCCACCAAGUAAUAAAAAGAUGAGAACAAUAGAAGUAGAGAAUUCAGGAUUGAUAAAGGAAAGAAUAACUCACUUGUUGGGAUUGACUAUUGAGGCAUGUUGGUUCAUUUUGUAUUUCAGUUCAUGCUUGAAGAAUUUUAUGCCCAUACCAGAAUAAUUGAAUUUCAGUCUGUGUUAGUGAUUAAUUAGUUGAGAGUAAUUUGGGUAAAUGGGAUUUUCUUGAAUUUUUUUUCCCUCGUUAAAAAAUGAUGCUGGUUAUUAGAAAUAGACUUCUAAUGGUAGGAAAUUAUUUCCAAAUGAUAUCUAAGAAACUGGAGAGAAUAUCCACCAUCCUAAAGUUAGUGUGACAUGAAGCAAUAAAUGAUCUUGAAUUCAAUUUUCAUC